AAGUGUUGCAGUUAGAAGCUCGUAGUUGAACUUUGGGCCUGGGCGGGCGGACUACCUAUGGUGAGUACUGCUGCGGCCGGGUCUUUCCUUCUGGCUAGCCCUUGUGGCGAACCAGGACGAUUACUUUGAGGAAAUUAGAGUGUUCAAAGCAGGCCUUUGCUCGGAUAUAUUAGCAUGGAAUAAUAGAAUAGGACGUAUGGUUCUAUUUUGUUGGUUUCUAGGACCAUCGUAAUGAUUAAUAGGGACGGUCGGGGGCAUCAGUAUUCAGUUGUCAGAGGUGAAAUUCUUGGAUUAACUGAAGACUAACUACUGCGAAAGCAUUUGCCAAGGACGUUUUCAUUAAUCAAGAACGAAAGUUAGGGGAUCGAAGAUGAUCAGAUACCGUCGUAGUCUUAACCAUAAACUAUGCCGACUAGGGAUCGGGUGGCGCUACUUUGCCCACUCGGCACCUUACGAGAAAUCAAAGUUUUUGGGUUCUGGGGGGAGUAUGGUUGCAAGGCUGAAACUUAAAGGAAUUGACGGAAGGGCACCACCAGGAGUGGAGCCUGCGGCUUAAUUUGACUCAACACGGGGAAACUCACCAGGUCCAGACGUAAUAAGGAUUGACAAGUUAGAGACUUCUCUUGAUCUUACGGGUGGUGGUGCAUGGCCGUUUUUAGUCCUUGGAGUGAUUUGUCUGCUUAAUUGCGAUAACGGACGAGACCUUAACCUGCUAAAUAGGGCUGCGAGCAUCUGCUCGUGGGCUCUUCUUAGAGGGACUAUGGGUAUCAAACCCAUGGAAGUUUGAGGCAACAACAGGUCUGUGAUGCCCUUAGACGUUCUGGGCCGCACGCGCGCUACACUGACGGAGCCAGCAAGUACAACCUUGGUCGAGAGGCCCGGGUAAUCUCGUGAAACUCCGUCGUGCUGGGGAUAGAGCAUUGUAAUUUUUGCUCUUCAACGAGGAAAUUCCUAGUAAGCGCAAGUCAUCAGCUUUGCGUUGAUUACGUCCCUGCCCUUUGUACACACCGCCGUCGCUACUACGAUUGAUUGGCCUAAGUGAAGCUCAGAUCGCGCUGCGGUAGAGCACUUGCCAUGACGCCCGAAAAUUU
rnacentral:rRNA from 1 species